rnacentral:rRNA from 1 species
AACGAACGCUGGCGGCAUGCCUAACACAUGCAAGUCGAACGAGACCUCCGGGUCUAGUGGCGCACGGGUGCGUAACGCGUGGGAAUCUGCCCUUGGGUUCGGAAUAACAGUUGGAAACGACUGCUAAUACCGGAUGAUGACGUAAGUCCAAAGAUUUAUCGCCCAGGGAUGAGCCCGCGUAGGAUUAGCUAGUUGGUGGGGUAAAGGCCUACCAAGGCGACGAUCCUUAGCUGGUCUGAGAGGAUGAUCAGCCACACUGGGACUGAGACACGGCCCAGACUCCUACGGGAGGCAGCAGUGGGGAAUAUUGGACAAUGGGCGAAAGCCUGAUCCAGCAAUGCCGCGUGAGUGAUGAAGGCCUUAGGGUUGUAAAACUCUUUUACCCGGGAUGAUAAUGACAGUACCGGGAGAAUAAGCCCCGGCUAACUCCGUG